rfam:Nematostella vectensis strain CH2 x CH6 NEMVEscaffold_7688_Cont53540, whole genome shotgun sequence.
GGCCUUGUGGCCCAAUGGAUAAGGCACCUGACUACGGAUCAGGAGAUACCAGGUUCGAGCCCUGGCAGGGUCG